CAGGGACAAACCCGAAAACACGGCAAGGUCAGGGGAGGAGGGCACUGUUUCCUGUCGAAGUCCACAUUUGUGAAAAAACAUUGAUUGGGCAGAGAGAGGUGUUGUAUUCUGGAAUGGAGGUGAGAACAGUGAGCCCGCAAGGUCAGGGAGCUGCCCCCAGGUCAUCUGGGCUGUCGGAGAUGGAGGCGGGAGAGGAGCCGUGUGCUCCUGAUCCCUGGCCCAACGCUCUCCUUCCCCGUCGCCCACUCGGCAUCGGCCCUACCCGGGGCCCGGACUCCCACUCACGCACUGGAAACUCCCUGUCUUGGGGCCGCGCACACCAUGCCUGGCAGGAGCUGGAGAUGCAGCAGAGCAGACGCGGCUGCAGGAGCAGCCGUGUUUCCUACAGUGGAGAAGGGGACCCUGGCAGGAGCACUGCCCAGCCAGGCACGUGGUGCUCAACCCUGUGGGCACUGACCCCACAAAAGGCCGGGGUUUGUGCUGCAGGAGGCCUCUGUUUGGGG
rnacentral:lncRNA from 10 species